UCUAGGAUAGUUGCUGCGUCAAAUUUAAAAAUAUGUCCUGUUGUAAAAUGGUGUUCAGCUAACGCUGUGGUAUUGCAGUAAUGAUAUCAUCUACAUAUACUUUUAAGAAUGGAACUGUAAAAGGUAAGUUGCCUUCAAUUUUUUUUAACACGUGAUUUAUUACCAAAUUCGCUAAUAUUGGGCUUGCUGGAUUGCYCAUACUAGAACCAUCAAGUUGUUGGUAAAAAGAUCCAUCGAAUUGGAAGUAGCUUGAUUCAAAACAAAAUUGUAUU